GGAAGAAGAGAAAAAAGAAACAACAAGUACAAUGAGAGGAAGACGCAUUUCAUGGAAAAGGAGAAGGGGACAUGGCAUGGAAUCAGGACUGAGAAAACAGCAAGGAAGGAGUCACAUUGUACCCAUAUGAAUCACAGCUAAAAAGAGAAUAGGACUAUUGACAUCUCAGCAGCCACAUUGACAAUGAAGUUCAGCAACUUUAGGUGAUAUCAGGAUACACUUUAGAUCCGUGGUUCUCAAACUUUUAUUUUUGCAGACCACUUGAAAAUUGCUGAGGGUCUCAGUGGACCACUUAAUCUCUGUUGUCAGAAAAAAUAAAUCUAUGACUACCUGAAUUGAGCUUGUGGACCAGUGGUGGUUCACGGGCCACAGUCUGAGAACCUCUGCUCUAGGUUACAAAGGAAGGGAUCCACAAAAAUUCUCAGAAUACUUAAUGCCAUUUUGUUUGAUACCUUAUCAAAUGCCCUGAGGGGAUGCAUUCUUUCAGAGAGAAUGGCAAGGGUCAUUGUGACAGAUCAGAAAGCUAGUAGAAGACUAUACCAUGAAUGUGGUGAUAAGUGGAGAUUUUAGCUGAAUAAAGGCAAAGAAGCUUUCAGAAGCUGCCCCUCAUUGAGUCACUGGAUUUUACAAAUAAAUGAAAAUGAAAAGAUGUGCCAUUGUUUGUGCUUACUAACCCUUGGAAUUGCCCCGUAAGGAGCAUAUCUUUUAGAGAAAACCCAUCUAAUCUGAUGUAAAAAAAAGAACUGAAAGCAGAAUCUACCAUAAUUCUGGGGAAGUUGUUUUAAUGGUUAAUUACUCUCCCUGUUAAAAACUUGCAACUUAUCUCUAGUCAAAAUUUGUCUAGCAUCAACUUCCACCUAUUGAAUAUUGUUAUACCUUUGGGUACAUGCAGAUGUUCCCGGGACUCAGUCUAUGAU